rnacentral:lncRNA from 1 species
ACGCAGGGCGCGCGUAGGCAGGGCUGACCUUCCCGCUUCCCAGCUCCCUGAGGCUGGGCGCUCAGCAGACGACGUAGUUCUUGUGCUCUUCCCGCCUCGCCUUUCUUUUCUUGGUUUCAAUCCCUGGUGUUGCAAGCCAAUUCCCGGGUCUUGUUAGGCGGGAAACACAGACUGCAUUACCCAUGUUUGAAACUGGAUUUGCGCGUUUGGGAAGCAAGAAUGGGGUUACUCUGCUGGAAAAGCUUGACAUUGCAAAUAAGGGAUUUUUACCCUACGGUUCCACAAGUUCCCACUAAGUAUCUGGUACGCGGAAGAGAGGGACAAGGAAGCACAGAGGCUCAGAACAGUUCGUUGUUCACCUCGUCUUUCUACCACAUAAUUCUGCCUCUAGAAAUACAGGAGAAAGAGUAGCCACGCAAAGCUUCUAGGAACUCCUGGGAGAAGCAUUCAUAAACUCUUAUUGCUGCCAGUUCAUCUUGGGGCCUUUCGGUGUGAAGAAAUGGAUCCUUAUCAAAUACUUUUGUGAAAGAACAUUUACAUCCUGCUUUAUUCCAGAAGAAAAGAUUUAAGCCUCUUCAAGGUAACAAAGCAUGGGUUUUACAACUCAAGCUGGAAAAUUGCUCUGCUUAUUUAGAAGUGGCCAGCAGAAGAACUAUAAAGAACAGAAUGAUUCCUGAAUCAGCAAACCCUGUGGGCCUGGAUGAUGCAAACCAAAAGACCAUGGCUGGGAUUAGCCUCAUAUGCUGGCAAGAAGCUGCCCAAUAAAUCACAAGAUUAGAACCAUUUUAAGUUCUGUGUUUUCCAAAAUAGAAGAGAAGAGCAUGUCUCAGACUCCUAUUCAUUUUAAAAGGAUCAAAGACAAAUUCUUUUAGAAUUUGAAUCUGUGGAAAGUAACUUGAGUAAGAUGACAAAACCGUUCUUCACUAAAUGAAAAUGAAUUGCAUUUUCAAGCAUGCCCACACUGCCCCCACCCCCUCCCUGCCCCCUAAUGGAAAAAAUGUAACUGUGGAGCUCUAGGUAGGUGAAAAACAGAAGGAAAACAUUACGAGGAGCCUGGAAGAGGCUAAGGCUGAUGCUGGCAUGAGCAUUGGAGAAGUAUUGUAGUUGUAUCAGUGUAGCUAUUAAACACCUCAUCUGAAAUAAUAUGAAACUUAUAAUCAUCAACUAGAAUCAUAUACAUUUUACAGUUUGAUUGGACCCUUGAGAAGUUAUCCAGAUGAAGAAACUGAAUCCCUCCUCUGGACUCAAAAAUCUGUGGGCUGGACUGGACCAUGAACCUCAUGCGUGCUUGGAGCAGAGCACAUAACACACGGUAUUCCCAUUGUCUGAAUCCCCUAGAGUGGGCUUCUUGACCGCAGAGACUGUAUUCUCUAUCUUUGAAUUCCUCACUUCUAGCACCGUGUCUGAUAGUAAGUGCCCAGCGAUGCUUGUUAAAGCAAUCAGAAUGAACAACAGAGGGGGAAAACAUUCGGAGGAAAAAUCCGUCUCUGAUCUCCCAGGACACGGCAAGGCAAAAUUAUCCAAAAAACCAAAAGUGAGCUUGACCUCAGUGUGUCUUUUUUAGGUGAACAAGUCACAGGCAAGCAUUUGCUGGACUGCCCAGAGCUAUCACUCCCAUCAUUGCUAUUAACAACCAUGGCUUGCUUAUUUUGUCUUGUUGGGGUAUUAGAAUGAGUUCACUCAUAAUUAAGUUCCCUGCUUUAAUUACAGCAGAAAUAAAAUUUAGGCAGCCCAGUGGCUUUGAUUCAGGUAUUUCAGGAAUGUUUUACUUUUGAAGUCUGAAGUAUUAAGGGUAGAUAAAAAACAGCAUCUUGUAUGAAGUUAAAAGUACAGGUUAUCUCAUGGAAAAAGAUGAAAUAUAAUUCUGUGUACCUUAUGAUUAUAAGGGUUCAUCAGAUUUAGUAACUGUUGGAAAACUAUCAUAUCUUUUUUGUAUCUUAAUUAUUUGGUUCUUUUCUCUGAAAAGACUAAAAAUACUGUGAACCCUUAAUUUCAAUGGCACAAAGAAUUGUGCGUUGCAUAUUUAUAAGUCAGCCACAGGACAAAGGGAAGCAAUAAAGAAUUAAACGUUACAUUCUCUUAAGAAAUAUUUUCUUUCAGUAUUACAUAAAUACCUUUGUGCUUUUCCAUUUUCUUUUUUUGAAACCAAGUAACCCUUUGACAUUUCAAAGUGAAAUAACUACACACACAAUUUUUAUACAGAGGCUAGGAUGACUUUUUUUUUUUUUUUUAGAACUAAGUGUAAUUAACCACACAUGGCAUAUUAUUCAUUGUCCUAUGACCUUUUUAAUUUAAUUUCAUAUUCUGAAAAUGUUUGCUUCUAAAUUUAGGCAGGAAAAUGAGAGAAUGUCAUGGCUGCUUUGCUGGCUGUACUUUAUAGAGGAUUAUACCUAGAUGAAUUUUCAAAUGUGGAUGUUUAAAAAAUGUAUGUACUUUGGCAUAUGUAAGGUUUAAUAGAGCCUAGUAAUUUGGAUUUACAAGAGACUACCCAUCCAAAAUCCUGAGAAAUUCUAAGUAGCUGUAAGGGGGAGGGCCUGGUGGAGUCAAUGAGAGGAAGCAGGCGGAGCAAGGGCACAAAUGGAGACCCACAUACCCUAUGUCCACAUACUUCGUAAUUAUAAAAAAGAAAAAAAAGCUCAAAACUGUUAAACAAGAUGGUCCUGUCCUUCUAACUUGACAAAUCAAUGACAAAAUCCCAAAACAUUGAUAAAGUUAUAGUCUCAAUAUGAUGAAAGGUGGCAAAAUAUCCAAGACGGCUGAAUUGUUGCACAUGUUUGGACGAGCUAGUGACAUUUUGUAUGAGAAACAAAAGAUAUAAAUAAUUCAUAAAUCAUUCAUUU